UCCCUGAUGGUCCAGUGGCUAAGACUCCGCACUCCCAAUACAGGGGGCUGGGUUCCAUCCCUGGUCAGGGAA
rfam:TPA: Bos taurus chromosome 27, whole genome shotgun sequence.